rnacentral:rRNA from 1 species
UUUGACCAUUAUAUAAGGUAAUGCCUGCCCAGUGACCAUGUGUUUAACGGCCGCGGUAUUCUGACCGCGCAAAGGUAGCGUAAUCACUUGUUUUUUAAAUAAAGACUAGUAUGAACGGCCCCACGAGGACUUAACUGUCUCCCUUGUCCAAUCAGUGAAACUGAUCUCCCCGUGCAGAAGCGAGGAUCUUUCCAUAAGACGAGAAGACCCUAUGGAGCUUUAAACUAAAAUCAACUAUUAUUCACCCAUUUUCUAAGGAACCAACAAAUAACUGAAUAUGCUUGACUUAAGUUUUAGGUUGGGGCGACCAUGGAGAAAAAAAGAUCCUCCCUGAUGACUAUAAACCAAGAACCACAACUCUAAGUAUUAAGAUACUUAACUCUAAUUGACCCAUUUUAUGAUCAACGAACUA